rnacentral:rRNA from 1 species
AACGGCCGUACCAUACUGAAUAUACCGGUUCUCGUUAGAUCACCGAAGUUAAGCAUCAUUGGGCGCGGUCAGUACUUGGGUGGGUGAUGAACACUGCGUGCCGU